GCUGGGGAUGCCUAAUUUUGUGUGCUGGGCAUGCUGGUUGCUCACAUGCUGGGGUUUCUGAGGGUGCACAUGCGGUGGGUGCUGAGCGUUGCGGGUGCUGAGCUCUUGGUGCUGAGCAUGCUGAGUCCUGGGGAUGUUUGGGUUUUGAGAACUAGGCCAUGAGGUGCUAGGUACCGGGGGUGCGCAGGUGCUGGGUCUGAGGAGUGCUGGAGGUGCCGAGUUCUGUGUAUUGUGUGCACUGAGUGCAAGGUGUGCUGGUAGCUGGGUGCAAGAGGUUCCUGGUUCUGAGUGCUGAUGUGGUCUAGGUGCUGAGGGUGUCCUGGUUCUGGGAGCUGGGCGUGCUGGUGUCAGUAGGGCAAUGGUGACCACCGUCUGGGCUUGGGUGUACCCAAGCGGUGAGGAAGGCUCACAACGUCUUCCAGGCAGGAGCUGAGGAGGGUGAGAGCCACCAGGACACCAGGCUGUGGUGUCGACUUCAGGGAGAGUGUCCAGGAAGUGCUGGAGGAAGGCCUUUCCCUUCUCCUCUGGUGGCGGGUGGUGCGUGGAGGAUGGUGCACUGGGUUGGAAGGCACCCAUGUCAUACUGUGGGCAGAAAGUUUGCAGUCAGCAGAGGGGGUGGGUAGGGCCAUCCAUUUGGCAUGGGGACAGGUUGGAUGAGGACCCUGUCCUGAAGUGAGGUGGGGGCAUCCCUCCAACAUGGAGCUGAGAUGGCUCUCUGGCAUGCAAUGGGGAUGUCCCUGUGAUGCAUGAGAGGGAUGUCCUACCAGUGUCAGUGGGGGACAGAUGUUCCCCUCCCAGCAUGAAAGGAGGACUAUCCUCUUGCAGGGAGGUCUCAGAUGGGGGCAAUUUCUUAAGUGCAUGAAGGCAUUGGACAAGGUUGUCCCUUCAGUGCAGAUUGGGGACAAAUAGGAAACACUGCCAGGGGGGCAAGCUCAAUCUCUUCACCUACAGCCAGGCGUGACCACCUCAAGGCAAACAUCAGCUGCCCUCUUGCGAGGAUCCCGCUGGUGGCUUGUCCCCUCUGUCCUUGGUUGGGUGGCUCUGGCCCCCAGCAGCCUGGGAUGUCUGAGGGGCUGGACCCGCUCUGGGACUUCAGUGCCAACCAGGAGUGCCCUCCCUGUUCCCACGUGUCCCCCACACUGCCCUUCUCCCUCACCCGCUCCUCCCUGAACCAGUGAACACUCCAGGACCGCUACCCAAACUGUACUGGAAGAAGGGUUGAGGGCACCCUUUGGCGGUUA
ensembl:lncRNA